AUUGAACGCUGGCGGCAGGCCUAACACAUGCAAGUCGAAUGGUAACAGGAAACAGCUUGCUGUUUCGCUGACGAGUGGCGGACGGGUGAGUAAUGUCUGGGAAACUGCCUGAUGGAGGGGGAUAACUACUGGAAACGGUAGCUAAUACCGCAUAACGUCGCAAGACCAAAGAGGGGGACCUUCGGGCCUCUUGCCAUCAGAUGUGCCCAGAUGGGAUUAGCUAGUAGGUGGGGUAACGGCUCACCUAGGCGACGAUCCCUAGCUGGUCUGAGAGGAUGACCAGCCACACUGGAACUGAGACACGGUCCAGACUCCUACGGGAGGCAGCAGUGGGGAAUAUUGCACAAUGGGCGCAAGCCUGAUGCAGCCAUGCCGCGUGUAUGAAGAAGGCCUUCGGGUUGUAAGGUACUUUCAGCGGGGAGGAAGGGAGUAAAGUUAAUACCUUUGCUCAUUGACGUUACCCGCAGAAGAAGCACCGGCUAACUCCGUG
rnacentral:rRNA from 1 species